rnacentral:rRNA from 1 species
UCGAGGGGCAGCAUAUGGAUUGCUUGCAAUCCAUGAUGGCGACCCGUGCACGGGUGCGUAACGCGUAUGUAACUUGCCUUAUGCAGGAGGAUAACCCGAAGAAAUUCGGCCUAAUACUCCAUAAGUGUCAGAGAGGCAUCUUUCGGGCAUGAAAGAUUUAUCGGCAUAAGAUAGACAUGCGUGACAUUAGCUAGUCGGUGAGGUAACGGCUCACCGAGGCGACGAUGUCUAGGGGUUCUGAGAGGAAGGUCCCCCACACUGGUACUGAGACACGGACCAGACUCCUACGGGAGGCAGCAGUGAGGAAUAUUGGUCAAUGGACGGAAGUCUGAACCAGCCAUGCCGCGUGCAGGAUGACGGCUCUAUGAGUUGUAAACUGCUUUUGUACGAGAAUAAUAGUUCUUACGUGUAGGGAUUUGAAUGUAUCGUACGAAUAAGGAUCGGCUAACUCCGUGCCAGCAGCCGCGGUAAUACGGAGGAUUCGAGCGUUAUCCGGAUUUAUUGGGUUUAAAGGGUGCGUAGGCUGUCGGAUAAGUUAGAGGUCAAAUGUCGGGGCUUAACCCCGUGCCUGCCUCUGAUACUGUUCGACUGGAGAGCGGAUGCAGCAGGCGGAAUGAGUAGUGUAGCGGUGAAAUGCUU